AUUGUUCGCCAAACAACUACGAGUCCCACUUAAAACUUAAAAGACUUGANGGUACUUCAUCACGGCCUAGAGGAGCCUGUCUAAUAACCGACAAUCCACGAUUAACCCCACCCCUUCUUGCCUUACAGNNUAUAUACCGCCNUCGCCAGCUUACCUUGUAAAAGAAAAAAAGUGAGCUAAACAGUACUACACUAAAACGACAGGUCGAGGUGUAACCUAUGAAGGGGACUACGAUGGGCUACAUUCUUCAACCAAGAAUACGAAUAACACUAUGAAAUUAGUGCCUGAAGGCGGAUUUAGCAGUAAGAUAAGAAUAAAACACCUACCUGAACAUAACGCAAUGAAGUGCGUACACACCGCCCGUCACCCCUGUCACCACAACACCUAACCUUAAUAAAUCAACUAAAAGAAUCAAACAGGGCAAGUCGUAACAAGGUAAGUGUACA
rnacentral:rRNA from 1 species